UACGUAGGGUGCGAGCGUUAAUCGGAAUUACUGGGCGUAAAGCGAGCGCAGGCGGCUUUGCAAGACAGAUGUGAAAUCCCCGGGCUCAACCUGGGAACUGCAUUUGUGACUGCAAGGCUAGAGUACGGCAGAGGGGGAUGGAAUUCCGCGUGUAGCAGUGAAAUGCGUAGAUAUGCGGAGGAACACCAAUGGCGAAGGCAAUCCCCUGGGCCUGUACUGACGCUCAUGCACGAAAGCGUGGGGAGCAAACAGG
rnacentral:rRNA from 1 species